UAUAAAAUGUUGACUUCAAUCCCUGUGCUGUGUAUGACAUCCCUGUGACUUAUUUAUGUAUAAAUUCCCCACCUUUGGAUCUCCAGAGUCUCUAUUAAGCCGACUCGCGAUGUUGCUGUUAAUCGCCCUUGCUCCCCAGACUCAGAGCCCUCAGACAGACCCCGACUCCGCGCUUUCUUCUUGGCCUCCCCUCCGCUGCUUCCUAAACCUCAGGCGGGGCAAGAAACCUGUGGCUGAAGUUGAGUCCUUUGUACUCCAGGAGGAUGAUGGCCAUAAACAUUUCCAAACUGAUCAACGAAACAUGUUGUGUUGUGUGGCAGGCUGAAUAAUGACCCUGAAUAAUGCCACUUCCCCCGCGAAGACCCCCAUCCCGUGUCUCCAUCCCUGGAACCGGUGACUGUUGCCUUAGACGGCAAAGAUGGACUUUACAGGUGUGAUUAAGAUCUUAAGGAGAGAUCAUUCCAGGUUAUCCGGCUGGGCCCUAAUGCAGUCGCUCGUACCCCUGUAAGAGGGAGGCAGAGGGGACUUGACACGCUGGAAGAGGAGAAUGCGACGUGAUGACGGAGGUGGAGAUGGAACACAGAUGAGAGGGAGCUCCUGAGACGGUGGACAGCGGCUAACACGGUGAUGUCACUGCCAGGCCACACCUAGGGGGCCACCAGGGUAUGAAUUUGCUUUCCUUUCUGCUCACCCUCGCAAGGCCUCUCAUCUGGAAAAGUUCUCAUUUUUAUCUGGACCCUGCCAUGGUUUCCAGGCUUCUCAGCUUGGUGUCCCUUUGCCUCCUGGGAGCCAGACACCUGUUGGCUGGAGUCGCUCAGUUCCCCAGCCACAGAGUCAUAGAGAAGAAACAGGCCAUGAGUUUGAGAUGUGACCCAAUUUCUGGACAUGAGUAUCUUGUUUGGUACCAACAUGCUGUGGGGAAAGAGAUG